GCGGUCAUAUAGUAUAGGAGGUCCAGCCUGCCCAGUGACUAUUAGUUUAACGGCCGCGGUAUUCUGACCGUGCAAAGGUAGCGUAAUCACUCGUCCUUUAAAUGGGGUCAAGUAUGAAAGGCUAAACGAGGGCUUAGCUGUCUCCCCCACCAAGUCAGUGAAAUUGAUUUAUCCGUGCAGAAGCGGAUAUGAAAAUUGCAAGACGAGAAGACCCUUUGGAGCUUUAGGCACAACGCUUACCCAUUUUACGCAAGUUUAUAGAAACAUGACUCCUAUGGAACUUAAGACUUUGCCUUCGGUUGGGGCGACCAUGGAGUAAAAUAAAACCUCCAAGUGGAUUGGGGAUGACCCCUAGAGCUGAGAGGGCCACCUCUAGGUCACAGAAAUUCUGACCAUCUAUGAUCCGGCAAUAAGCCGAUUAACGGACCAAGUUACCCUAGGGAUAACAGCGCAAUCCUCUCCCAGAGCCCAUAUCGACGAGGGGGUUUACGACCUCGAUGUUGGAUCAGGACAUCCUAAUGGUGCAGCCGCUAUUAAGGGUUCGUUUGUUCAACGAUAAAAGUACUAAAAGAUCUGAGUCAAAC
rnacentral:rRNA from 1 species